rnacentral:lncRNA from 1 species
UGAACAAUAGGCAAUUUGUGAGACUCCAGAUAGUCCUAUAUAAGGGUUAAACUCUUAACGCAAUUUAAGUAUUUUGGAUGUUGGCUAGGUUCAAAAGGUUAAGAAUGUUAAACAUACUAAGACGGGAGUAGUCUUAGAAUGGGUGACCCUCCUGAGAAAUUAGAACGUUACAGUUGGUAUCAAAGCCAAUUACCAGCCGGAAAUGUGAGACGAGUCUCGGCUAAGGUAGGAUCGUACAGACGAGAGAGCGAGAUUUUCAUUGUAUUGACUGUUAUGGGUGGAACGUAGUUCACCACAUGGUCAGUUUAAACUAGUGAGACGAGUCUCACAUCACUUGAUACUUGUGAGUGUGAGCCUAACGAGUACGUCCGGGCUUAAGAGACGGAGAAUAUGAGAUCUUGAAUAGUCCCAUAUAUAAGAUAUAAUAAGGCUAAUACUCUUAACCCGGCUUAAGUAUUUUGAAUGGUGACUAGGCCCAAGAGGUUAAGAUAGUUAAGCGUGUUAGAACGAG